CCUACGGGCGGACAGCAGUCGGGAAUAUUGCGCAAUGGAGGAAACUCUGACGCAGUGACGCCGCGUGAAGGUCAGUGCCCUAUGGGCGUUAAACUUCUUUUGUGCGGGAGCAAUAAUGGUCACGUGUGGCCAGACGAGAGUACCGUACGAAUAAGCAUCGGCUAACUCCGUGCCAGCAGCCGCGGUAAUACGGGGGAUGCAAGCGUUAUCCGGAUUUAUUGGGUUUAAAGGGUGCGUAGGCUGUGAGGUAAGUCAGCGGUGAAAUGCCCCCGCUCAACGGGGUGAAGUGCCAUUGAUACUGCCUUGCUGGAAUGCGGAUGCCGUGGGAGGAAUGUGUGGUGUAGCGGUGAAAUGCAUAGAUAUCACACAGAACACCGAUUGCGAAGGCAUCUCACGAAUCCGCGAUUGACGCUGAUGCACGAAAGCGUGGGUAUCAAACAGGAUUAGAUACCCGAGUAGUC
rnacentral:rRNA from 1 species